UCCCAUCAGACCGUCGGGAAAUAUCACACUCGAGUCUCUUCACAGCACAGUACAUUCUGUCAGGAUGAAAACAAGAGAGAGGAACUAUGAGGCAGACCUUUCUGGAUUGAGCCCAGAUAUGAAAAAAAAAGAAGAAAAAAAAAAAAUGGUCAGAAUGAGGGUGUUAUUUGAAAUUCUGUGCUCUUGUCCUGCUCUUUCAGCGACAAUAAACUAAAGUCAAGACGUGACGGAGUAUUAAGACUCAAUGACAGCAGGAAUAUAUCAGACGUCAUUCAGAGAAAUGAUUCACUUGAGGAUCAGGAUCCAGACGUUUACCCAGAGAAGUUUAAGAAAGAAGCUUCAAUCUCAUAUUCAUUUGUGGCUUCAUCUGUGUGUUUGCAGUGCUAAUAAAUAAAGUGUCUCUGCAGGUCCCAGUAGAGGCUGUUAUUGGUGGUUCUGUUGUCCUUCCAUGUUCUUCCACUGAACAUUAUAAUAAACUUCAAGAUAUUCAUGUGUUUUGGAGACACAAUGGCAGCAAGAUUGUGCGUGAUAUAAGUCCCAGCAGUCAUUCACAAGAGAAACAGGAUUCAGAGUAUAAAAACAGAACUGAAUCAUUUCCAGAGGAGUAUGAGAGAGGAAACUUCUCCAUCAAACUCCACAAUCUCAUUUAUGCUGAUACAGGAAAAUACAGCUGCCUCAUCUCACACUCAUCUGAACAGAAGACUGUACAGCUGAUCAUUAAGGAAUCAACAGCAGAAAAAGGAACCAAAUCCACUGAACAAGAAAACCAAGGAACAACAAAACCAAGCAGUGUGUGGAUAUCAUCGCCUUGGCUCUGGAGUGGCAUUGCAUUAGUUAUAGUUAUAGUUAUAGGCUUCAUUGUAGUUUACUUUAGAAAAAAGUCCUCAAGCAAUCUUAGUGCAGGCGGACACAGCAUGAGUUCAGACGCUCAUGAGGUUGAACACAUUGUGAAUCAGUAAUAGCUGAUAGUAAUAAAGAUAAAGUUGGUACAUGACACAACUGUAUAGCUUGGUGUACCGGCAGCAAUUGCAUGAGAUUUUGCGCUAAACACUGAGUCAGAGGAGGAGGUCAGUGCUUCAGUUUUGCUGCCACAACUUUGCGUGGAAAAAGUAAGAAAUAAUGAGAUGCAAAUGAUUUGGUUGAAGAACAGAGAACAGAAUGGAAUGAGAAUGAAAGUGUGUUACUGUAUUUCCUGCUGAUCACAUUAAGCCUAUAACAAUUAUAUUUACAGCUGUUGGGAUGGAUUUCAUGGAAAAUCGUUAGUCUGCGCGUCAUAUCUGUAAAUAUAGGAAAGAAGGUCAGGCUCCCACUACGUCUACAUAGAGUGGAAGUUUUUAAAGCUAUAAAAACGGAAAGCAACAUUAUCCAUAAUAAAACGCAAAUUAACAUUGGUUUGUUUUUUCAGAAAUGCUUUGUUUGCAAAUAGCAUCAUAUUUGCUGUGCAUUGAAAAGGGCUACAUUCUCAAAAGCAUCGUGAGCCAAGUUUAUCGACAAGGUUCUCAAAACAAUUUUUAUGUUGUAACAUUGCCAAGUCAAAACAACAGCAGAACAUAAGUUAUCUGCUCACGAGUCAUUUUCUUGAAUAUCUGUUUUUUGUUAUUUAUUUAUCUAUAGGGUUGAGAGGGUUUAAUGUUGUUAGUGACAUUUGCACUGAUAAGAUGCUCACAUGUAACCAUGGGCUCAGUAUGUAGGCCCAUUUCUUGCACAUAAGAAGAUCAUAGCAGAGCGACUCACAGCUCAUGUAAUUACCAAAACUUAAUGUUCCUCCAACAGUAUUUUUAUGCUGCAACUGCUAAAGGGCCAAGUUACAUAUUCUAGCUUUAAUAGCUAUUUUUAUAUUUUGUACCCUUUAUGAUUAUCACUUUUAAGUCAAGUGCUUUUAAUUAUUAGUGUGUAUAAAAUGUGCUGUAAAUAUCCUUGUCUUUCCACUUUGUAAGUUUAAAAGUUACAUUUAGUUUUUACAGUUUUCUGAUGCAAAACACACUGUUUUGUACUGUUAUAUUCUUGCCUUAUUCACUGCAUUCAUACAACACAUAAUGAGAUCUUGAAACAGGCUAAAGUUAAGACAAAUGAGUCAAUAUGUUGCUGCCUUAAAAAUUCUGUACUAGAAAACAUUCAUAUUGAAAAUAUUGUUUUAUUUGUAGGAACUGUUAAUUAUAUUUAAAGUGUACUUCAGAAUUCUCAGGUAUAAACAGGAAACAAGGAACAUAGUUUCAUUGUAUUUGCAUGAUCUCAUUAUGUUCAAGACCCAAUAAAUUGUAUUAUGAAAUAAUGCAUGUGUCAGCGUUGUAUAUUACAAACAUAUUACUAUCUUAUAUCUUAUACUUUUUACUAAAACCAAAUGUUUUACAUUUCAUUUGGCUGAUGCUUUUAUGUGAAAGCAAGUGUGGCUUUUGGUUUAAAAACAAACAAACAAAUAGCACAUUUGUGGUAAUAUGAGUUUUAAUUUGUGUGCACAUUUGGAUAAAACUCAAUUUCUGAAUGCCACUGUCUCCUCAUCAUCAUAUCCAACCCCUUCCCCUUCCUCCCCAUGAUUGUGUGUUUUGAGGCAGUGCACUGGGGCUCUUUGAGGGACCAGUGAGGGUUUUAAUGGCCUCUAAGGGCCCCAGCCGUAUCUCAGCACCAGAAUAUUACAGUAAACACAUGGGAUUGGGCUUUUUCAUGUUUGUAUGACAAGCAUCCUGGUGCUCAGAAUUUCCACAGCAAGCACCACUCCUUACUAGUAAAUGAAAUGCAUCAAAUAAUGGCAUCAGGUCACAAAACAAACUAUUCAAGAAAAAUCAAACUGAACGCCUCUGUGUAUUUCCGAAACAUGACAAUAGGCAUCAAAAGCAUUUUAUCUAUGUACUACAAAAACACAGUACAAAAUGCUGUAAUAAAUACAAUACAGAAGAAUAUGUCAGAAAGAAGAGAAAUGCAAAUCUGACUGUCAGGUUUGUGAGGUCCUG